AUUGAACGCUGGCGGCAGGCCUAACACAUGCAAGUCGAGCGGAUGACGGGAGCUUGCUCCUUGAUUCAGCGGCGGACGGGUGAGUAAUACCUAGGAAUCUGCCUGAUAGUGGGGGACAACGUUUCGAAAGGAACGCUAAUACCGCAUACGUCCUACGGGAGAAAGCAGGGGACCUUCGGGCCUUGCGCUAUCAGAUGAGCCUAGGUCGGAUUAGGUAGUUGGUGAGGUAAUGGCUACCCAAGGCGACGAUCCGUAACUGGUCUGAGAGGAUGAUCAGUCACACUGGAACUGAGACACGGUCCAGACUCCUACGGGAGGCAGCAGUGGGGAAUAUUGGACAAUGGGCGAAAGCCUGAUCCAGCCAUGCCGCGUGUGUGAAGAAGGUCUUCGGAUUGUAAAGCACUUUAAGUUGGGAGGAAGGGCAGUAAGCUAAUACCUUGCUGUUUUGACGUUACCGACAGAAUAAGCACCGGCUAACUCUGUGCCAGCCGCCGCAGUAACAC
rnacentral:rRNA from 1 species